CGCGUAGGCGGCUAUUUAAGUCGGAUGUGAAAGCCCCCGGGCUCAACCUGGGAACUGCAUCCGAUACUGGGUAGCUAGAAUGCAGUAGAGGGAGGUGGAAUUUCCGGUGUAGCGGUGAAAUGCGUAGAGAUCGGAAGGAACACCAGUGGCGAGGCGGCCUCCUGGACUGACAUUGACGCUGAGGUGCGAAAGCGGUGGGGAUCAAACA
rnacentral:rRNA from 1 species